GCUGCGGCAUGGGAUGGACCGGCUCUGGCGGCCGAGCAAGGGUAGGCUACCAGGGGCUAUUCCGGGGGCCACCUCUGCCCUCCGGAUGCCGAGGUGGUUCAGCGGCCCCCUGGAUAAGUGUCUGCCUCCCGGGACCCGUCUCAAGGCCACCAUGUCCGUUCUCAGAGCAAGGCAUUUGAGAGAAGUAAUGACUACAGCUUUGUCAGAAAGCUCAUGAGGGAGCUCCUGGGAUCUGUACGUGGGCAGAGAUUAUGAGAGGGGUCUUUUUGUAAACCUUUUCAAUGUCAAAGCACCAAUUUAUAAAACGCUGCAGAUGUAGAGGUUAUGUGCAACUGAUCUGUCCAGUUUGUGUAUGAAAUGGAUUUGAUAAAGUUUUUGCUAGUUAUUUACUACAUU
rnacentral:lncRNA from 1 species